UUUCCGUAGGUGAACCUGCGGAAGGAUCAUUAUCGAAUUUCGAGGGGAAGGAAGAUGAGGAGUGGAGACUGUCGCAGGCUUUCCCGCCUGGGAAGCAUGUGCACGCCUUGCUUUUCGUUGACCUUUCUCUUACUCUCACACCUGUGCACCCAUUGUAGGUCCUCGAAAGAGGAUCUAUGUUUUUAUCAUCACACGCAUCGUAUGUCCAUAGAAUGUAACAUGAUCGUCGAUCGACCUCGCGGUCGGGUGGCGGUCUAAAUAAAUAAAUACAACUUUCAGCAACGGAUCUCUUGGCUCUC
rnacentral:misc_RNA from 1 species